rnacentral:rRNA from 1 species
GAUGAACGCUAGCGGCAGGCUUAAUACAUGCAAGUCAAGGGGGUAGCAAUACAACCGGCGCACGGGUGAGUAACGCGUACACAACAUACCAUAUACUGGAGUAUAGCUUUGGGAAACUGAAGGUAAUCCUCCAUAACAUUGCGAGAGGGCAUCUGAUUGCAAUUAAAGUUUCGGCGGUAUAUGAUUGGUGUGCGUUUGAUUAGCUAGUUGGUAGGGUAACGGCCUACCAAGGCGACGAUCAAUAGCUGGCGUGAGAGCGCGACCAGCCACACUGGAACUGAGACACGGUCCAGACUCCUACGGGAGGCAGCAGUAGGGAAUAUUGGACAAUGGAGGAAACUCUGAUCCAGCCAUGCCGCGUGAUAGAUGAAGGCCCUCUGGGUUGUAAAUAUCUUUUAUCUGGGAAGAAACACUCCUAUUCUUAGGAACUUGACGGUACCAGAGGAAUAAGCACCGGCUAACUCCGUGCCAGCAGCCGCGGUAAAGUAUCG